rnacentral:tRNA from 1 species
GCAGGCGUGGCGGAAUUGGCAUACGCGCACGGCUUAGGACCGUGUUCUUCGGAGUGUGGGUUCGACUCCCACCGCCUGCA